rnacentral:rRNA from 1 species
GCCAGACUCCUACGGGAGGCAGCAGUGGGGAAUAUUGCACAAUGGGGGAAACCCUGAUGCAGCAACGCCGCGUGAGUGAAGAAGUAUUUCUGUAUGUAAAGCUCUAUCAGCAGGGAAGAGAAUGACGGUACCUGACUAAGAAGCCCCGGCUAACUACGUGCCAGCAGCCGCGGUAAUACGUAGGGGGCAAGCGUUAUCCGGAUUUACUGGGUGUAAAGGGGGCGCAGACGGCGAUGCAAGCCAGGAGUGAAAGCCCGGGGCCCAACCCCGGGACUGCUCUUGGAACUGCGUGGCUGGAGUGCAGGAGGGGCAGGCGGAAUUCCUGGUGUAGCGGUGAAAUGCGUAGAUAUCAGGAGGAACACCGGUGGCGAAGGCGGCCUGCUGGACUGCAACUGACGUUGAGGCCCGAAAGCGUGGGGAGCAAACAGGAUUAGAUACCCGAGUAGA